rnacentral:lncRNA from 1 species
AGUUUGACUGUUAAAACUGAUAAAACUGAUAAAACUCCUAAUAUAUCCUUCAAUAUGCAAGGAGUGAUACACAGAAACCUGUAUCAAACGUGAAAGCUUACAGAUCACACUGAAACCACUGGAUGGCUCUACAGACUUUGCAAACAUUUACGCUUGCAUCUAGGAGAAAUUUGAGGACUAUUUCAUGAGAUUCUUUGAGCAGAGAAACUUAAUACUCCCAAUUCAAAACGCAGAUGGCACCACGCGAGGUCAGAGAAAGAGGCAAGAAGUUUUAGUCAACCUGUCUUUGAUUAUUGGCUUGCCAUAUGCAGUCUACGUGUACUUGAUCAUCGCUUAACUUUUUAGCCUGUUUCUCAUGUAUGAAACGAGAAUAAUGAUAUCCAGCUCAUGGGUUGUUUAAAGGAAUACAUGACAUGAUAAGGUGAAGAGGAACAGAUGCUGCCAUGAAAGGGGUUUCCUAGAAAGUGGUGAAGAGACCAUAGCCUAAUGCAAGUAGAGAAUUGGGACCAGGAAAAAUAAAGCCAUGAAAUAAUGAGUCUGCUGUAUUAGAGAGCUACUAUGUUAUGAUAUCUCAAACUAAUAUUUGAGACUCCUUGGCUUGAUAACUAUGAUUCCAUUGAAGAUGACUAUUGAGUUGAAUGGCUCUGUUUUCCAUCAACGAUGACAGCUUUUAAUCACAGAUCUCAAGCCCAUUAUGAACAUUAAUUAAUGUCUGACAUCGCUUAAUGAGAUAGAGUCUUGCCCUGUUGCCCAGGCUGGAGUGCCGUGGC